rnacentral:rRNA from 1 species
UGGGGAAUCUUGCACAAUGGGGGAAACCCUGAUGCAGCGACGCCGCGUGAGCGAUGAAGCCCUUCGGGGUGUAAAGCUCUUUCGACGGGAACGAUAAUGACGGUACCCGGAGAAGAAGCUGCGGCUAACUACGUGCCAGCAGCCGCGGUAAUACGUAGGCAGCAAGCGUUGUUCGGAAUUACUGGGCGUAAAGAGUGUGUAGGCGGUGCUCUAAGUUCGGUGUGAAAUCUCCCGGCUCAACUGGGAGGGUGCGCCGGAAACUGGGGUGCUGGAGCGCGGGAGAGGAAAGCGGAAUUCCUGGUGUAGCGGUGAAAUGCGUAGAUAUCAGGAGGAACACCGGCGGUGUAGACGGCUUUCUGGACCGUAGCUGACGCUGAGACACGAAAGCGUGGGUAGCAAACA